GAUGAACGCUGGCGGUAUGCUUAACACAUGCAAGUCGAACGCAGGCUUUCGGGUCUGAGUGGAGGACGGGUUAGUAACGCGAGAGAAUCUGGCUUCAGGAUGGGGACAACCACGGGAAACGGUGGCUAAUACCCAAUGUGCCGAUACGGUGAAAGCUUAAUUGCCUGAAGAUGGGCUCGCGUCGGAUUAGCUAGUCGGUGGGGUAAGAGCUCACCAAGGCGACGAUCCGUAGCUGGUCUGAGAGGACGAUCAGCCGCACUGUCACUGAGACACGGCACAGCCUCCUACGGGGGGCAGCAGUGGGGAAUUGUCAGCAAUGGGCGAAAGGCUGACCGAGCAAUACCGCGUGAGGGAGGAAGGCACGUUGGGUGUAAGCCUCUUGCCUCAGGGAAGAAGGCAAUGACGGUACCAGAGGAAUCGGCACCGACUAACUCCGUG
rnacentral:rRNA from 1 species